rnacentral:rRNA from 1 species
ACGGGGGGAACGCGAAGAACCUUACCUACUCUUGACAUCCAGAGAACUUAGCAGAGAUGCUUUGGUGCCUUCGGGAACUCUGAGACAGGUGCUGCAUGGCUGUCGUCAGCUCGUGUUGUGAAAUGUUGGGUUAAGUCCCGCAACGAGCGCAACCCUUAUCCUUUGUUGCCAGCGGUCAGGCCGGGAACUCAAAGGAGACUGCCAGUGAUAAACUGGAGGAAGGUGGGGAUGACGUCAAGUCAUCAUGGCCCUUACGAGUAGGGCUACACACGUGCUACAAUGGCGCAUACAAAGAGAAGCGACCUCGCGAGAGCAAGCGGACCUCAUAAAGUGCGUCGUAGUCCGGAUUGGAGUCUGCAACUCGACUCCAUGAAGUCGGAAUCGCUAGUAAUCGUGAUCAGAAGUCGGGAAACC